CUCUCGAGGACCGGGAUUGGGCAGCCCUGCCCUAAGUUUGCAGUGCGGAGAGUCGUAGAGAGAUCGGGCUGCCUGCCAGGAAACACAUCAGAAAGCAGCUAAACAUCAACUGCAGACUGUUGACUAAAGGAAGGAUGACUUCUCUUUAUGUUUCCAUCUAUUACUGGUUCUUGACUUCACAUUGCUCUGUCGCCUGGUUAUGAUUUAUACGUUUGGCUUUUUGCGGCGAGGUCAAUGUGAAGCUGAAAUUGGAGAAGAGCAGAGAUGUGACGUAAAGUGAAGGAGAGCACUGUUCCUGUUAAAUAAAUGCCGUCAGUGUGGGGGAGUGCUGGGUGCCAACGACAAGCCAGCUUGGCAUGUGGGUACACCAACUGGUCUGAUGACUCAGAGAGAAACACAUGCACAGCGAGCAUUGAGUCCACGUGAUGGAGAUGAAACAUGCAGGCAACAUCUGCCAGACUGCUUGUUUCACCAAGAAGACUGAGAUCCAGCUCACUGGGACCUGCAGACAGAAAAAUCCACAACAAUCUU